rnacentral:rRNA from 2 species
AGAGUUUGAUCCUGGCUCAGAACGAACGCUGGCGGCAGGCUUAACACAUGCAAGUCGAACGCACCUUCGGGUGAGUGGCAGACGGGUGAGUAACGCGUGGGAACGUGCCCUUCAGUUCGGAAUAACCCAGGGAAACUUGGGCUAAUACCGGAUACGUGCGAGAGCAGAAAGAUUUAUCGCUGAAGGAUCGGCCCGCGUCUGAUUAGCUAGUUGGUGAGGUAAUGGCCCACCAAGGCGACGAUCAGUAGCUGGUCUGAGAGGAUGAUCAGCCACAUUGGGACUGAGACACGGCCCAAACUCCUACGGGAGGCAGCAGUGGGGAAUAUUGGACAAUGGGCGCAAGCCUGAUCCAGCCAUGCCGCGUGAGUGAUGAAGGCCUUAGGGUUGUAAAGCUCUUUCGGCGGGGACGAUAAUGACGGUACCCGCAGAAGAAGCCCCGGCUAACUUCGUGCCAGCAGCCGCGGUAAUACGAAGGGGGCUAGCGUUGUUCGGAAUCACUGGGCGUAAAGGGCGCGUAGGCGGCUUGAUAAGUCGGGGGUGAAAGCCUGUGGCUCAACCACAGAAUUGCCUUCGAUACUGUCUGGCUUGAGACCGGAAGAGGUAAGUGGAACUGCGAGUGUAGAGGUGAAAUUCGUAGAUAUUCGCAAGAACACCAGUGGCGAAGGCGGCUUACUGGUCCGGUUCUGACGCUGAGGCGCGAAAGCGUGGGGAGCAAACAGGAUUAGAUACCCCCGUAGUCC